rnacentral:rRNA from 1 species
CCUACGGGAGGCAGCAGUAGGGAAUCUUCCACAAUGGGCGAAAGCCUGAUGGAGCAACGCCGCGUGGGUGAAGAAGGUCUUCGGAUCGUAAAACCCUGUUGUUAGAGAAGAAAGUGCGUGAGAGUAACUGUUCACGUUUCGACGGUAUCUAACCAGACAGCCACGGCUAACUACGUGCCAGCAGCCGCGGUCAUACGUAGGUGGCAAGCGUUAUCCGGAUUUAUUUGGCGUAAAGGGAACGCAGGCGGUCUUUUAAGUCUGAUGUGAAAGCCUUCGGCUUAACCGGAGUAGUGCAUUGGAAACUGGGAGACUUGAGUGCAGAAGAGGAGAGUGGAACUCCAUGUGUAGCGGUGAAAUGCGGAGAUAUAUGGAAGAACACCAGUGGCGAAAGCGGCUCUCUGGUCUGUAACUGACGCUGAGGUUCGAAAGCGUGGGGAGCAAACAGGAUUAGAUACCCUAGUAGUC